rnacentral:rRNA from 1 species
AGAUUGAACGCUGGCGGCAGGCCUAACACAUGCAAGUCGAGCGGCAGCACGGGUACUUGUACCUGGUGGCGAGCGGCGGACGGGUGAGUAAUGCCUAGGAAUCUGCCUGGUAGUGGGGGAUAACGCUCGGAAACGGACGCUAAUACCGCAUACGUCCUACGGGAGAAAGCAGGGGACCUUCGGGCCUUGCGCUAUCAGAUGAGCCUAGGUCGAUUAGCUAGUUGGUGAGGUAAUGGCUCACCAAGGCGACGAUCCGUAACUGGUCUGAGAGGAUGAUCAGUCACACUGGAACUGAGACACGGUCCAGACUCCUACGGGAGCAGCAGUGGGGAAUA